CGUAAACGAUGAAUGCUAAGUGUUGGAGGGUUCCCCUUCAGUGCUGCAGCUAACGCAUUAAGCAUUCCGCCUGGGGAGUACGGCCGCAAGGCUGAAACUCAAAGGAAUUGACGGGGGCCCGCACAGCGGUGGAGCAUGUGGUUUAAUUCGAAGCUACGCGAAGAACCUUACCAGGUCUUGACAUACUAUGCAAAUCUAAGAGAUUAGACGUUCCCUUCGGGGACAUGGAUACAGGUGGUGCAUGGUUGUCGUCAGCUCGUGUCGUGAGAUGUUGGGUUAAGUCCCGCAACGAGCGCAACCCUUAUUAUCAGUUGCCAGCAUUAAGUUGGGCACUCUGGUGAGACUGCCGGUGACAAACCGGAGGAAGGUGGGGAUGACGUCAAAUCAUCAUGCCCCUUAUGACCUGGGCUACACACGUGCUACAAUGGAUGGUACAACGAGUUGCGAACUCGCGAGAGUAAGCUAAUCUCUUAAAGCCAUUCUCAGUUCGGAUUGUAGGCUGCAACUCGCCUACAUGAAGUCGGAAUCGCUAGUAAUCGCGGAUCAGCAUGCCGCGGUGAAUACGUUCCCGGGCCUUGUACACACCGCCCGUCACACCAUGAGAGUUUGUAACACCCAAAGUCGGUGGGGUAACCUUUAGGAACCAGCCGCCUAAGGUGGGACAGAUGAUUAGGGUGAAGUCGUAACAAGGUAACCA
rnacentral:rRNA from 1 species